GGCUUAGGAUGAACGCUGGCGGCGCGCCUAACACAUGCAAGUCGAGCGGCGAAGGGGGAUUCGUCCCCGGACCAGCGGCGAACGGGUGAGUAACGCGUGGGCAACCUGCCCCGGGCCCGGGGAUAGCGGGGGGAAACCCCCGGUAAGACCCGACGCGCCCGGAGGGGGGCAUCCCCCUCCGGGCGAAGGAGACGGCCCGGGAUGGGCCCGCGUCCCAUCAGCCAGACGGCGGGGCGACGGCCCACCGUGGCGACAACGGGUAGCCGGACUGAGAGGUCGGCCGGCCACAUUGGGACUGAGACACGGCCCAGACUCCUACGGGAGGCAGCAGUGGGGAAUAUUGCGCAAUGGGCGCAAGCCUGACGCAGCGACGCCGCGUGCGGGAUGGAGGCCCUCGGGCCGUGAACCGCUUUCGGCGGGGAGGACAUUCGACCGUACCCGCAUAAGAAGCCCCGGCUAACUACGUGCCAGCCGCAGC
rnacentral:rRNA from 1 species